rnacentral:tRNA from 1 species
GGUGGCUCAAUGGUAGAGUGCUUGCCUCUCAUACAUGAGGCCCUGGGUUCAAUUCCUUGGCACCA